GGACUCCUAACUCAAUUGGUUAGAGUAGAUCCCUUUUAAGGAUAAGGUUCCGGGUUCGAGUCCCGGGGAGUCCACCA
rnacentral:tRNA from 1 species